CCCCUAGAUGUUCUGGGCCGCACACGCGCUACACUGAACAGUUCAACAAGUCUUAACCUUGGCCGAUAGGUCUGGGUAAUCUUUGAACGCUGUUCGUGAUUGGGAUAGACCUUUGCAAUUAUGGGUCUUCAACGAGGAAUUCCUAGUAAACGCAAGUCAUCAGCUUGCAUUGAUUACGUCCCUGCCCUUUGUACACACCGCCCGUCGCACCUACCGAUUGAAUGGUCCGGUGAAAUCUCGGGACGGCGGCUUGGUCGCUUGCGUCCGACUGCUGAAACUUGAUUAAACCAUAUCAUUUAGAGGAAGGUGAAGUCGUANCA
rnacentral:rRNA from 1 species